GAUGAACGCUGGCGGCGUGCUUAACACAUGCAAGUCGAACGGAAAGGCCCAAGCUUGCUUGGGUACUCGAGUGGCGAACGGGUGAGUAACACGUGGGUGAUCUGCCCUGCACUUCGGGAUAAGCCUGGGAAACUGGGUCUAAUACCGGAUAGGACCACUUCUUGGAUGUUGUGGUGGAAAGUUUUUUCGGUGUGGGGUGAGCUCGCGGCCUAUCAGCUUGUUUGUGGGGUAAUGGCCUACCAAGGCGUCGACGGGUAGCCGGACAGUGGGAGUGUACGGCGAAAUUGGGAAUGAGAGACGGCCCAGAAUCCUAAGGGAGGAAGAAGUGGGGAAUAGUGAAAAAUGGGGGCAAGCCUGAUGCAGAGAGGCCGGGGGGGGGAUGACGGCCUUCGGGUUGGAAAAAACUUUCGCUAGGGACGAAGCGUUUUGUGACGGUACCUGGAGAAGAAGCACCGGCUAACUACGUG
rnacentral:rRNA from 1 species